rnacentral:rRNA from 1 species
CCUACGGGUGGCAGCAGUGGGGGAUAUUGCACAAUGGAGGAAACUCUGAUGCAGCGACGCCGCGUGAGGGAAGACGGUCUUCGGAGUGGAAACCUCUGUCUGUGGGGAAGAAAAGGACGGUACCCAAAGAGGAAGCUCCGGCUAACGACGUGCCAGCAGCCGCGGUAAUACGUAGGGAGCGAGCGUUGUCCGGAAUUACUGGGUGUAAAGGGAGCGUAGGCGGGCGAGAACGUUGAAUGUUAACUCUACCGGCUGAUCUGGUAGCUGCGUUCCAAACUUCUUGUCUUGAGUUCAGUAGCGGCCGGCGGCAUUCCUAGUGUAGCGGUGCACUGCGUAGAUAUUAGGAG